rnacentral:rRNA from 1 species
AUACGUAGGGGGCGAGCGUUGUCCGGAAUGAUUGGGCGUAAAGGGCGCGUAGGCGGCCUGUUAAGUCUGGAGUGAAAGUCCUGUUUUCAAGAUGGGAAUUGCUUUGGAUACUGAUGGGCUUGAGUGCAGGAGAGGUUAUCGGAAUUCCCGGUGUAGCGGUGAAAUGCGUAGAGAUCGGGAGGAACACCAGUGGCGAAGGCGGGUAACUGGACUGCAACUGACGCUGAGGCGCGAAAGUGUGGGGAGCAAACAGGAUUAGAUACCCUGGUAGUCCACACUGUAAACGAUGAUCACUAGGUGUGGGGGGACUGACCCCUUCCGUGCCGCAGUUAACACAAUAAGUGAUCCACCUGGGGAGUACGGCCGCAAGGUUGAAACUCAAAUGAAUUGACGGGG